CCUUUUUUCCACAGACUAGUUUUUGUCUCCAACAGUGACUCUGACUUGACCACUUUGGUCUGUUAUGCACUACUGUUCUGAGGCUUUUGCAAGAGGAAAUAGCAACAUAACAUGAAGAUGAUUGUUGUGGCCCAUACCGAUGAGCAGGAAGCAGAAAACAUUGAGUCAUCAUUCCUGCGUCACCUUCUGCAUCUCUCCAACCUUUUUCUACAAACCUCCAAGGAAACCUGGACUUUGAAACCCAUCACACUUGUGAAUAAGACCAAAAUGUAGGCUCCACGGUCAUGGGUGAAAAGCACAAUGUUCAGAUCUUAUACUGUACAAAUAAUUCUCAUGGUUAAUAAAUAAUUAAUUCUGUACUUA